ACACGUAAGGGGCAAGCGUUGUUCGGAAUUAUUGGGCGUAAAGGGCGCGUAGGCGGUACCGUAAGCCCGGCGUGAAAACCUGCAGCUUAACUGCAGGCCUGCGUUGGGAACUGCGGAACUAGAGUCAUGGAAGGGAAGUUGGAAUUCCAGGUGUAGGGGUGAAAUCUGUAGAUAUCUGGAAGAACACCGGUGGCGAAGGCGAACUUCUGGCCAAUGACUGACGCUGAGGCGCGAAAGUGCGGGGAGCAAACAGGAUUAGAUACCCUGGUAGUCCGCACCAUAAACGAUGUACACUAGGUGUUGGGCCGAGCGGCUCAGUGCCGAAGCUAACGUGAUAAGUGUACCGCCUGGGGAGUAUGCCCGCAAGGGUGAA
rnacentral:rRNA from 1 species